UCCCGAGUUUACAUUUCACCGAUCUCGCAAUGGCGAGACGGAACGAAAGUGGGAGGCAGCGAUCGCCAGCGACUACUGUGGUGUGGCCCAAGGAUUGAAUGUUUCACGCGUCUGUUCCUGUCAUUUCGCCGACGACGCCUAUUUUGAUGAAGAAGUAUUGCAAGUUCGGCUCGGGCUACGGCAAAAACGGAAGCGGCUGAAGAUUGACGCCGUGCCUACCAUAUUCGAUCAGGAACAAGGGCAGGAACCAGUAACGGAGGCGGCAGCAAGCACGUCAACGAAUUCAGCUGGAUUUGAUGCGGAGGUCAUGGCUGAAGCAAGUGCUGGGGACCCACUUCCCACGUCACGGCGCAUCUCACAAGGGGGUUGUUAUCCCCUGAUUCCAGGAAGAGGAAAACAAAGGACACACACUUGCAUAGCGUAUUAGUACACCAGAUAUGGAUCUGCCAACAAGAACCCUCCUAACAUCCCUGUGGCAGCAUACCUGUAACCACCCAGA